rnacentral:rRNA from 1 species
GACGAACGCUGGCGGCGUGCUUAACACAUGCAAGUCGAACGGAAAGGCCCUGCUUGCAGUGUCCUCGAGUGGCGAACGGGUGAGUAACACGUGGGUGCUCUGCCCUGCACUUCGGGAUAAGCCUGGUAAUCUGGGUCUAAUACCGGAUAGGAGCCAUUUUUAUUGUGAUGGUUCGAAAGUUUUUUCGGUGUUGUAUGAGGUUGCGUCCUAUCUGCUUGUUGGUGGGGUCAUGGCCUACCUAGGCGGCUACGGGUAGCCGGCCUGGGUGAGUGGACGGCCAAAAUGGGACUGAGAGAAGGCACAGACAGCGAAGGGAGGCAGAAGGGGGGAAGAAUGAACAAGGGGAGCAAGGCGGAGGAAGAGAAGCCGCGGGGGGGAAGACGGGCUUCGGGGUGAAAAAAAGGUUCGGGAGGGAAGAAGCUUUUUGUGACGGUACCUAGAGAAGAAGCACCGGCUAACUACGUG